UCCCAGAUAGUAUAGUGGUCAGUAUUUCGGCUUGUCAAGCACCAGCUCGCCGGAGGCCGGAGUUCGAUUCUCCGUCUGGGAG